GGGCGUUAGCGCGCGCAGGCGGUUCCUUAAGUCUGAUGUGAAAGCCCACCGCUCUACCGUGGAGGGUCAUUGGAAACUGGGGAACUUGAGUGCAGAAGAAGAGAGCGGAAUUCCACGUGUAGCGGUGAAAUGCGUAGAGAUGUGGAGGAACACCCCUGGCGAAGGCGGCUCUCUGGUCUGUAUCUGUCACUGAGGCGCGAAAGCGUGGGGAGCGAACACGAUUAUAUACCCUGGCAGUCCCCCCCCC
rnacentral:rRNA from 1 species